UUAUUAUAUAUAAAAUGACAAUCGUUAACAACUGUGACUCAGAUGGCGAUACGACCGACGCAUCAUCUAUCAUCAAGUUCAUGUGGCGAUGGAUGAACCUGUGAUCAUCCCUAUUAAGCAUUUUAUCGUCAGCAUUAUGUUAUGUGUGUAGUUAUGGUAGAUAAAGAAGACAAAAAUAUAUUUACAUUUUAAAGUAUUUUUAUCUACCAGUCUAUUAUGUUGAAAUUAUCAAAUAAAUAAGUAUUAAUUUAAUAUUAUAAAUGAGCAGCGGAGGUCUGUUUUGCUCUAUGAUGAGCAAUGACAUCCAAGUUCAAAUCAAAUUAAUGUAGGAUUUUAAAUUUCCACGAAACGAAUGUGUACUUGAAGAAACAGGUCUAUGAUCAUUUUUUUUAUGUCUAUGGCAAUACUCUAGAUUGGUCUAUGAGUGGUGUGACUUUUACUUCUUCCCAGAAUGGCGAAAGGAUUAUAAUUGUGAAUGUAACAAUAAUAUAAUAAACUGUGUGGAGCUGAUUUGCCAAGCUUUUAU